UUUAAAUUGAGAGUUUGAUCCUGGCUCAGGAUGAACGCUGGUGGCGUGCCUAAUACAUGCAAGUCGUACGCUAGCCGCUGAAUUGAUCCUUCGGGUGAAGUGAGGCAAUGACUAGAGUGGCGAACUGGUGAGUAACACGUAAGAAACCUGCCCUUUAGUGGGGGAUAACAUUUGGAAACAGAUGCUAAUACCGCGUAACAACAGAUCACACAUGUGAUCUGUUUGAAAGGUCCUUUUGGAUCGCUAGAGGAUGGUCUUGCGGCGUAUUAGCUUGUUGGUAGGGUAGAAGCCUACCAAGGCAAUGAUGCGUAGCCGAGUUGAGAGACUGGCCGGCCACAUUGGGACUGAGACACUGCCCAAACUCCUACGGGAGGCUGCAGUAGGGAAUUUUCCGCAAUGCACGAAAGUGUGACGGAGCGACGCCGCGUGUGUGAUGAAGGCUUUCGGGUCGUAAAGCACUGUUGUAAGGGAAGAAUAACUGAAUUCAGAGAAAGUUUUCAGCUUGACGGUACCUUACCAGAAAGGGAUGGCUAAAUACGUGCCAGCAGCCGCGGUAAUACGUAUGUCCCGAGCGUUAUCCGGAUUUAUUGGGCGUAAAGCGAGCGCAGACGGUUUAUUAAGUCUGAUGUGAAAUCC
rnacentral:rRNA from 1 species